UACGGAGGAUCCGAGCGUUAUCCGGAUUUAUUGGGCGUAAAGGGAACGCAGGCGGUCUUUUAAGUCUGAUGUGAAAGCCUUCGGCUUAACCGGAGUAGUGCAUUGGAAACUGGGAGACUUGAGUGCAGAAGAGGAGAGUGGAACUCCAUGUGUAGCGGUGAAAUGCGUAGAUAUAUGGAAGAACACCAGUGGCGAAAGCGGCUCUCUGGUCUGUAACUGACGCUGAGGUUCGAAAGCGUGGGUAGCAAACAGU
rnacentral:rRNA from 1 species